AUGUUUUUAACAUGUAAAAAAGCUUGGUUUUAUCCCAAGAACGAUGAGCAGUCUGUAAAGGGCUUAAUUACGGCAGGAAACACCAUAUUAUUAGUGUUUUAAGAAGGUGACACUGGCUAUUUGGUUAGGUGGCAUUUGUAUUGUAGUGGGUAACAGCGAAUGUGGAUUGCUUGGUUUACAGACCUGAAAGUCUUGGCCACUCAAAGUCAAGCCCUAUCCUAAGUUUGUUUUGUUUUGUUUUCAAAGCAAUAUGUGAUAGCAGGUCUCAGAGUUA
rnacentral:lncRNA from 1 species